rnacentral:rRNA from 1 species
UAAAGAUUUUAAGGGCGUACGGUGGAUGCCUUGGCGAUAUCAGCCGAAGAAGGACGCGGUAAGCUGCGAUAAGCUACGGAGAGGUGCAAGCAACCUUUGACCCGUAGAUUUCCGAAUGGGGGAACCCGGCAGUGGUUAUGCACUGUCACCCAUACCUUUGAGUAUGAGGAGGGCACCUGGGGAACUGAAACAUCUAAUUACCCAGAGGAAAAGUAAUCAAACGAGAUUUUCUUAGUAGCGGCGAGCGAACGGGAAAGAGGCCAAACCGGAGCGGGCAACCGCACCGGGGUUGAGGACAGUCAUCAAGUGUAAAUGAGGUAGAAGAAUCGAGUUGGAAAGCUCAGCCGAAGAAGGUGAAAGCCCUGUAAUCGAAACCUUGCAUACACGGGACUGUAUCCAGAGUACCACGAGACACGUGAAACCUUGUGGGAAGCGGGGGGGACCACCCUCCAAGCCAAAAUACUGAUAUCGACCGAUAGCGCAUAGUACCGUGAGGGAAAGGUGAAAAGAACCCCUGGCGGGGAGUGAAAGAGAACCUGAAACCGUAUGUCUACAAACAGUCGAAGUCUGUAUAUAUAUCAGGACGACGGCGUGCCUAUUGAAGAAUGAACCGACGAGUUACUGUUGCUAGCGAGGUUAAGUGGAAGACACGGAGCCGCAGCGAAAGCGAGUCUGAACAGGGCGUUCAGUUAGUAAUAGUAGACCCGAAACCGUAGUGAUCUAUCCAUGGCCAGGUUGAAGCACAGGUAAAAUUGUGUGGAGGACCGAACUCGUGAGCGUUGAAAAGCUUUGGGAUGAGUUGUGGAUAGGGGUGAAAUGCCAAUCGAACACGGAGAUAGCUGGUUCUCCCCGAAAUAGCUUUAGGGCUAGCCUCGAGGUUGAGAGUAUAGGCGGUAGAGCACUGAUCGGGCUAGGGGCCAUACCGGUUACCGAACCUAGUCAAACUACGAAUGGCUAUACUUAUACUCGGGAGUCAGACAGUGAAUGAUAAGGUCCAUUGUCAAGAGGGAAACAGCCCAGAACACCGACUAAGGUCCCAAAUGUUACACUAAGUGGCGAAGGAUGUGGAAUUUCCAAAAACAACCAGGAUGUUGGCUUAGAAGCAGCCACCAUUUAAAGAGUGCGUAAUAGCUCACUGGUCGAGAGACUCUGCGCCGAAAAUGUCCGGGGCUAAAGUGUAAAACCGAAGUCGUGUCAUAUACAGCAAUGUAUAUGGGUAGGGGAGCGUUCUCAUUGGGUUGAAGCAGUACCGUAAGGAGUUGUGGACUGAUGAGAAGUGAGAAUGUCGGUAUGAGUAGCGAAAAGAAUGGUGAGAAUCCAUUCCACCGAAAGCCUAAGGGUUCCUGAGCAACGAUCGUCGUCUCAGGGUAAGUCGGGACCUAAGCCGAGGCGGAAAAGCGUAGGCGAUGGACAACAGGUUGAAAUUCCUGUACCGGUGUGAAUCGUUUGAUCGAUGGAGUGACACAGUAAGGUAGGUCAGCACGCGAUUGGAAGUGCGUGUUUAAGCAUGUAGGUUGAGUUAUAGGCAAAUCCGUAGCUCUAAAAGCUGAGAUGUGAUGACGAGUUACUAGCGAUAGUAACGAAGUGAUUGAUCCUACACUGUCGAGAAAAGCUUCUAGGUAGAGACACAUCGCCCGUACCAAAACCGACACAGGUAGGCGGGGAGAGAAUCCUAAGGUGCGCGGGAAAACCCUCGUUAAGGAACUCGGCAAAAUGCCUCCGUAACUUCGGGAAAAGGAGGACUCAUGUAGUGUGAAGUGCAGCAACGCAUGGAGCAUGAAUGAGUGGCACAAGAGAGGCGCAAGCGACUGUUUACCACAAACACAGGUGCCUGCUAAAGCGAAAGCUGAUGUAUAGGUGCUGACACCUGCCCGGUGCUGGAAGGUUAAGAGGAGGGGUUAGACUUUGGUCGAAGCUCUGAAUUGAAGCCCCAGUAAACGGCGGCCGUAACUAUAACGGUCCUAAGGUAGCGAAAUUCCUUGUCGGGUAAGUUCCGACCCGCACGAAAGGUGUA